rnacentral:rRNA from 1 species
UACGUAGGGGGCAAGCGUUGUCCGGAAUCAUUGGGCGUAAAGAGCGUGUAGGCGGUCCGGUCAGUCGGUUGUGAAAGUCAAGGGCUCAACCCUUGAAUGCCGGCCGAUACUGCCGGGCUAGAGUCCGGAAGAGGUGAGUGGAAUUCCUGGUGUAGCGGUGAAAUGCGCAGAUAUCAGGAAGAACACCCGUGGCGAAGGCGGCUCUCUGGUACGUGACUGACGCUGAGACGCGAAAGCGUGGGGAGCGAACAGG